rnacentral:rRNA from 1 species
UAAAUAGUUAGGUGAAGUCUUCGGGUUUCGUCCUAUACUUCUUAGAGGGACUAUUGGUGAUUUAGCCGAUGGAAGUUCGAGGCAAUAACAGGUCUGUGAUGCCCUUAGAUGCCCUGGGCCGCACGCGCGCUACACUGA